rnacentral:rRNA from 1 species
GACGAACGCUGGCGGCGUGCUUAACACAUGCAAGUCGAACGGUAAGGCCCUUCGGGGUACACGAGUGGCGAACGGGUGAGUAACACGUGGGUGAUCUACCCUGCACUUCGGGAUAAGCCUGGGAAACUGGGUCUAAUAUCGGAUAGGACCCUGGGAUGCAUGUCCUGGGGUGGAUAUGUAUUGCGGUGUGGGAGGGGCCCGCGGCGUAUCAGCUUGUUGGUGGGGUGAUGGCCUACCAAGGCGACGACGGGUAGCCGGCCUGAGAGGGUGACCGGCCACACUGGGACUGGGAUACGGCCCAGACUCGUACGGGAGGCAGCAGUGGGGAAUAUUGCACAAUGGGCGCAAGCCUGAUGCAGCGACGCCGCGUGAGGGAUGACGGCCUUCGGGUUGUAAACCUCUUUCAGCACCGACGAAGCGCAAGUGACGGUAGGUGCAGAAGAAGGACCGGCCAACUACGUGCCAGCCGCCGCAGUAA